UACGUAGGGUGCAAGCGUUAAUCGGAAUUACUGGGCGUAAAGCGUGCGCAGGCGGUUAUGUAAGACAGGUGUGAAAUCCCCGGGCUUAACCUGGGAACUGCAUUUGUGACUGCAUAGCUAGAGUACGGUAGAGGGGGGAUGGAAUUCCGCGUGUAGCAGUGAAAAUGCGUAGAUAUGCGGAGGAACACCGAUGGCGAAGGCAAUCCCCUGGACCUGUACUGACGCUCAUGCACGAAAGCGUGGGGGAGCAAACAGG
rnacentral:rRNA from 1 species